AUUGAACGCUGGCGGCAUGCCUUACACAUGCAAGUCGAACGGCAGCGCGGGGCAACCUGGCGGCGAGUGGCGAACGGGUGAGUAAUAUAUCGGAACGUGCCCUGGAGUGGGGGAUAACGUAGCGAAAGUUACGCUAAUACCGCAUACGAUCUGAGGAUGAAAGCAGGGGACCUUCGGGCCUUGUGCUCCUGGAGCGGCCGAUAUCUGAUUAGCUAGUUGGUGGGGUAAAAGCCUACCAAGGCGACGAUCAGUAGCUGGUCUGAGAGGACGACCAGCCACACUGGAACUGAGACACGGUCCAGACUCCUACGGGAGGCAGCAGUGGGGAAUUUUGGACAAUGGGGGGCAACCCUGAUCCAGCAAUGCCGCCGUGUGUGAAGAAGGCCUCGGUUGUAAG
rnacentral:rRNA from 1 species